GUCCUUACCUAGCAGGGAAGUUUUCCCAGGGUGAUGUUCACCCAUUGAACUCCAGGUGUGUUAACCCCUGUGAUUUCCCCAAAUAUAGGACUUGACUGCAUUUUUGUGGUAGUGGGGGUCUGUGUUUACCUCUUCCCCUG
rnacentral:snRNA from 1 species